rnacentral:lncRNA from 1 species
CGCAGAAGUUGGACAAAGACACACCCACAGGGAAAGCACCAUGAGAAGAUGACGGCAGAGAUCUGGGCGACGCGUCUACAAGCCAAGCGACACCAAAGGUGGCCAGCAGCCCAUGUGAAGCUGGAGGAGAGGCCUCGAAUAAAUGCUCCCUUACAGCGUUCAGGGGGAACUGACCCUGUCCACACCUUGACCUUGAACUUCUGGGCUCCAGAACUGAGCAGCGUGGCUAGAGGAAUUCCUGCAGCUUAGAUUUCGCUGGCACUGUUACCACUCCCAGAGAGGAGCGGCUGGAGUUCACGGCUGGUUCCUGACAAACUUCCUAAUUAAUCUGCUAAAGAUCAGAGGAGGACUAAUAGGAGCUGAAGACUGUGUGCGAGACCACCCCUCCGCCCUCUCCCUUUGUGUGUGCACGUGUGUGUGUGUGUGUGUGUGAGCGCGUGCGCGCAUGUGGUGCUGAGCUUGGCGGGAGAGAGAUGGCCUCACCAGCGACAAAGCAUUCCUGCUGCUGUUGCUGCCACCUACCUUCCCUGCUUUGGGAGGAUACAUUUUCUCCUCUUGCUUAGAAGUUUCAGGGAGUCACCCAAGCCUUCUUCUCCCAGAUACAACGGUGGAAUAAAAUAUCUUCCAGCCAACAUAUUUUUUGGAGACGGAAUCUCACUCUGUCACCUGGUUGAAGUGCAGCAGCGCGAUCAUGGCUCACUGCAACCUCUGCCUCCCGGUUUCAAGUGAUUCUCCUGCCUCCGCCUCCCGAGUAGCUGGGAUUACAGGCAUGUGCCACCCACCACGCCUGGGUAAUUUUUGUAUUUUUACUAGAGACAGGGUUUCACUAUGUGGGCUGGGCUGGUCUCAAACUCCUGACCUCUGGUGAUCUGCCCACUUCGGCCUCUCAAAGUGCUGGGAUUACAGGCAUGAGCCCCCGCACCCGGUUGCAACCAACUUUUUUGUGGAAUAUAGGAUCUUGAUGUUUGGAUGCCUGAAGGCAGAAGCUGUUGCACAUGGAAUGGAUUAAAGUUUUCCCCUCUGCAACCAAAAAUCCUUGGGGUCCCAGGAGCAAAAGAUGCUCCAUGGCACAGGACAAUUCAAGAAGGCCCGAGGUGAUAUUGAAGACUGCAGAGACAUCCAGCUCAGUUGUGUCUCCGGAGGUGUCCAGACUUUGCAGACAGACGUUGCACAUAAAGAGCUGAAAAACUGAGGAAGCUGAGCUGGAGAAGGAAGUCACUUCUACUCAGACUUGACCUGCGUCUGAUGCUAUGGGGCCUCUUAGGGUUACCUCAUGCUUCAUGCACCCCUUUCUCUGUUCUUCAGCAGAAGGCAGGGUGUAGGGAAGCGGGACUGUGCCUCCUUUCUCCCUGCCAGGCCUGACUCUCCAGGCCAAGAGACACCAUUAAGGAGUAUAAUUUGUUGAUCCAGGCUCUCCUUGCGUUUCAGUGCAGAGUGGCAUCGUUUUCUUUAUGACCUCGUAAAGUCACAGCCGAGAGGCCGAUUUGGAAAACAAACUGCCUCAGGUUGACAGAUAAUUAGAUACAGGGGACAUAUUAUAUGCCUUUGCAUAUAAAUGUGCUCCGAGGCGUGUUGGUUCAUCUGAAGUUGAGGUUAAAGGCGCGCCAGGUAUUCCUGACACAUCAGGAUAUAUAUUUUCAUACAGUCUCAGGUGCUGUGUUGGUUUUAUAGGCCUUUCAUCCUGGUGCUGACGGAUGGGGUGUGAUUGUGACCCAACUUAGAAGAAAGGGACUUCCCUUGCCCAGGGGCCUCCUGGCGUUUUUGUUUUGUGUUCUCCCUCUCCACCCCCACUUUCUCUUCUUCCUUGGGAAGGGAACUGUUCUUUGGACCUAGGAUUCUGCCGUGAGUGACUAAUGGCCUGAGUAGGAGGGACCGGGACUCAUUUUUCUUUUCUGGACUCUAAUAGGCCCAAUUAAUUCAGCUACAACAUGGGCCCUUACAAGCCUGGGACAAGCCUGGGUGGAAUUCUAUAUUGAGGAGUUAAUCCUAAUAAAAAAUGAUUACAGAAGAGGACGCCUCCACCCACAGGAAGGAGCCAGCACGGUGGGGAGCUGUUUCACCAGGGGAGUGUUCUCAGCAGCUGCCACACGUGGAGUUGUGGAGGUAGCAAGCAGAGUUGGGGGAGGAGGGGGAGCCCUGGUUCCUGCUCUUCCAUGAUCAGUGUGCAGCCUUGAGCAUGGCACUCCCUCUCUUCCCAGCUUAGUGUCCUCAUCCGUAAAAUGAGGGGCUCUCUGAGAGUCUGCCAGGGCCGCUGUCUGAUCUGUGACAGCGUGGCAUGUGGUGUGGUAUGUAAUGCACGUUCCUGCCUGCAGGGAGGCCCUCUCCCUUCCCCCACCAGGCUUCUGGGCAGCACUUGCUGUCAUCCUUGCUUCUGGAACAGGACUGUGCUGUUUUCCAGGCCAAAUUGGAGGGCUGAGGGGGUCUAUUAAGAAGACUCUGGGGAGAUGGUGGAACAAUUCUGUGCUUGAAAUUACCUUCCUCUUUAAAUCUUGCCAUGGCCCUAUUAGAAAAGCUAAGGGGGCAGGAGGAGAGGAGCGGGCAGGGAGAGGAGAGAGAGAGAGAAGAAGGAAGAAGGAAAGGGAAAGGUAAGAAACCCCAUAGCCCGACCCUCAGCCCUGUUGAAGGAGAUUAUAUAAAUAGAGUCGCUGUCACUUUGAUGAAUUAAAUCCUCCGUUAAUUAGGACGCAUCCAUUUAAGGGUUGUCCAGCCAGAUAGUCCUUUUCCCUUCCCAGCAAGUCAUAGCUCAGGGAGGAGGCAUGAGAGGGAUCGUUUUCUGUUUCUGGCUUGAUUGCUGGUUUCUUUCUUACUAGGCUUCAUUAAUUAUCCUGGAAUGUGGUCACCCAGUUUUCUUCAACAUGGGCCAUUCUCCUUUUAGCAGGAUCUUGGCAGUGGACUGCCACGGGAGCUCUGGGGAAAAAGGACCAGUUGGACUCCAGUACCUCCUGAGAGACCACCACCCUCCAUGCCUCCAGCUCAUGCCCAGCUCUGAGUCAGACGGACUCUUCCUGUUGUACUGCGAGGUUCUGCAAACCUUGAAGGGCAAACACAGUGAGGGUCUCUGACUUGCUGUGUGGACAGCCCACUCUCUGACAGCCCAGAUCAUCUGAAGCUAUCCCUGGGCUGGGAGCUGGAAGCCAUUCUUGUGAACCACUCCUUAUACCUUGAGCGAAGCCUCUUUGGGUCCCAGAAGUCUGAAGCUCCAGCUGCCUGGCAAGACUGAGUCUAGAUGAUUUCUUGGGUACCAGUAGUUUGGCAUUUAAAAAUACUGGAUUAACUGCAGUGUAAACUUAGAUUGCAUUUCAGAUUGUAAACAAUAACCCCCGUGCUUCAUGUGAUGUUAAAUCAGAAAUGAGCUAUUAGCCAAGCUAGUCCUCUUAUGAAUGAGCCCCUAACCCUGAUCCAGGGAUCGUUGAAUGAAAAUCAUCAAAAUGAUUUAUCUUCACUUUACCUAUUGUCUCACAAGAAUCUCAUCACUCAGGGAAAAGGAGGGUGUUCUUCAGGGAACGGAGGGCAUGAGGAAGGGGGAUUUCCUUAUAUCUCAACUUUCAGAGGGAGCUGAGUUGUAAACAGAUGGAACAAGGUGUGUACGAGAAGCCUCUUAGAUUUAGUCUUUCAUAUCAAGGCUCUUGCUGAAAAUCCUGGCACAGCUGUGAAAUGAGGGGAGCUCUGACACACAGAGACACGCUCCUUGCCUCACCAACCUUCCCAUACACAGUCAUGCGCACAGAGAGCAGGUACCAAUACUGAAAAUGCCCUUCCGGAGUUUCCUCAGCUUAAACCCUUGACAGCAUUAAGUGAGGAAGGAGUUUCCUUGACCUGGGGAAGAAGAACCAACUCAUAAACAUGGAACUGUG